UACGUAGGGUGCAAGCGUUAAUCGGAAUUACUGGGCGUAAAGCGUGCGCAGGCGGUUUUGUAAGUUUGUCGUGAAAGCCCCGGGCUCAACCUGGGAAUUGCGGUUGAAACUGGCGAACUAGAAUCUGGCAGAGGGGGGUGGAAUUCCACGUGUAGCAGUGAAAUGCGUAGAGAUGUGGAGGAACACCGAUGGCGAAGGCAGCCCCCUGGGCUGAGAUUGACGCUCAGGCACGAAAGCGUGGGGAGCAAACAGG
rnacentral:rRNA from 1 species